rnacentral:rRNA from 1 species
GAUGAACGCUGGCGGCGUGCCUAAUACAUGCAAGUCGAGCGAACAGACGAUGAGCUUGCUCCGCUGACGUUAGCGGCGGACGGGGGAGUAACACGUGGAUAACCUACCUAUAAGACUGGGAUAACUUCGGGAAACCGGAGCUAAUACCGGAUAAUAUAUUGAACCUCAUGGUUCAAUAGUGAAAGACGGUGUUGCUGGCACUUAUAGAUGGAUCCGCGCCGCAUUAGCUAGUUGGUAAGGUAACGGCUUACCAAGGCUACGAUGAGUAGCCGACCUGAGAGGGUGAUCGCCCACCUGGGAACUGAGACACGGUCCAGACUCCUCGGGGAGGAAGCAGAAGGGAAUGUUACGCAAUGGGCGAAAGCCUGACGGAGCAAGCCCGAGUGAGUGAUGAAGGUCUUCGGAUCGUAAAACUCUGUUAUUAGGGAAGAACAAAUGUGUAAGUAAAUAUGAACGUCUUGACGGUACCUAAUCAGAAAGCCACGGCUAACUACGUG